rnacentral:rRNA from 1 species
AUUGAACGCUGGCGGCAGGCCUAACACAUGCAAGUCGAGCGAGCGGCGGACGGGUGAGUAAUGUAUGGGGAUCUGCCCGAUGGAGGGGGAUAACUACUGGAAACGGUAGCUAAUACCGCAUACUAUCGGAUGAACCCAGAUGGGAUUAGCUAGUAGGUGGGGUAAAGGCUCACCUAGGCGACGAUCCCUAGCUGGUCUGAGAGGAUGAUCAGCCACACUGGGACUGAGACACGGCCCAGACUCCUACGGGAGGCAGCAGUGGGGAAUAUUGCACAAUGGGCGCAAGCCUGAUGCAGCCAUGCCGCGUGUAUGAAGAAGGCCUUAGGGUUGUAAAGUACUUUCAGCGGGGAGGCGUUACCCGCAGAAGAAGCACCGGCUAACUCCGUGCCAGCAGCCGCGGUAAUUC